rnacentral:lncRNA from 1 species
UGCCAGACCAUUUUAAUUCCGCAGCAAGAAAAUAAUAGCAUUAAACCUGUAACCAAUCCAUUGUAAUCAAUACUAAAUUACCCCGACAUAACACAUCAUGAAGUUCAAUAUGCCCACAAAAUCAACAUGAUACGAUUAACAGGAGGUAAAGAAAAUAACAUCAACAAACAUGUUGGAUAUAACAAUAAACAAAAGCCUUGCCCAUAAGAACAAUAUAACACUUUGCCAAACGGAAAACCAACUGGACGUGCCAAAUAUAAGUUGCAAUUCAAUAUGU